rnacentral:rRNA from 1 species
GGGGAAUCUUCCGCAAUGGGCGAAAGCCUGACGCAGCCACGCCACGUGUGGGACGACGGCCCUCGGGUUGUAAACCACUUUCAGCAGGGACGAAAAUGACGGUACCUGCAGAAGAAGCCCCGGCCAACUACGUGCCAGCAGCCGCGGUAACACGUAGGGGGCGAGCGUUGUCCGGAAUUACUGGGCGUAAAGGGCUCGUAGGCGGUUUGGUAAGUCAGAUGUGAAAACUCCAGGCUCAACUUGGAGACGCCAUCUGAUACUGCCAUGACUAGAGUUUGGUAGAGGAGUGCAGAAUUCCCGGUGUAGCGGUGAAAUGCGCAGAUAUCGGGAGGAAUACCAGUCAGCGAAGGCGGCACUCUGGGCCACAACUGACGCUGAGGAGCGAAAGCGUGGGGAGCGAACAGGAUUAGAUACCCUGGUAGUCCACGCCGUAAACGGUGGGCACUAGGUGUGGGACCCUGUCAACGGGUUCCGUACACGUAGCUAACGCGUUAAGUGCCCCGCCUGGGGAGUACGGCCGCAAGGCUAAAACUCACAGGAAUUGACGGGGGCCCGCACAAGCGGCGGAGCAUGUUGCUUAAUUCGAGGCAACGCGAAGAACCUUACCUGGGCUUGACAUGCUGGGAAAAGCCAUAGAGAUAUGGUGUCCAUUUAUGGGCCCUGCACAGGUGGUGCAUGGCUGUCGUCAGCUCGUGUCGUGAGAUGUUGGGUUAAGUCCCGCAACGAGCGCAACCCUCGUCCUAUGUUGCCAGCGGGUAAUGCCGGGGACUCGUAGGAGACUGCCGGGGUCAACUCGGAGGAAGGUGGGGAUGACGUCAAGUCAUCAUGCCCCUUACGCCCAGGGCUGCAAACAUGCUACAAUGGCCGGUACAACGGGCUGCGACAUCGCGAGAUGAAGCGAAUCCCUUAAAGCCGGUCUCAGUUCGGAUUGGAGUCUGCAACUCGACUCCAUGAAGCCGGAGUCGCUAGUAAUCCCGGAUCAGCAACGCCGGGGUGAAUACUGUUCCCGGGCCUUGUACACACCGCCCGU